CUUUAGCCCCGAUUGCAGUGAUAUCCUUUUUUUAUAAACCUUGCAAGGGUUUGUAAAAAAAGAUAUAGCGUAAAGCGGGAAAAUUA
rnacentral:sRNA from 1 species